rnacentral:rRNA from 1 species
AAUUCGCCCUUCCUACGGGGGGCAGCAGUGGGGAAUUUUGGACAAUGGGCGCAAGCCUGAUCCAGCAAUGCCGCGUGCAGGACAAAGGCCUUCGGGUUGUAAACUGCUUUUGUACGGAGCGAAACGGUCUGGGUCAAUACCCUGGGCUAAUGACGGUACCGUAAGAAUAAGCACCGGCUAACUACGUGCCAGCAGCCGCGGUAAUA